CAAUCACGAAAGAUAAAGAAACAGAUCGAUUUAAGAUAGUCCGCAUCAAUUCUUUGAGAACGAAUAAGUAUGUAAGUGCUUACUUACAUAUACCAUCAAAGAUAGGCGAGUACAGAGGGGUGAGGAAGAAGAGGUAGAAACUGCUUAAGGAGGCCACGGAAUCUGCAGACGUCGUCUCACCAUCAACCAGUUUUCUCAUACGGUCGACAUAUGAUAUUAUCUAAAAUUAAUGAAAUAAAAUGAUUCAGAACGCAAAAAGCUAAAUCAAUUUAUUUUCAUGGCAUUAUCAAACCAAUGAUUUCUAGUGAUUGUAAUCUGAUCGGUCGAUUUCAUGGCAAAGUAAGUAACGUGUACAAAAUGCACAUGUUGAAUGUAUCAUAAAGCUAACACAUUUGUAAAAUAU